UACGUAGGGUGCAAGCGUUGUCCGGAAUUAUUGGGCGUAAAGAGCUCGUAGGCGGUUUGUCGCGUCUGCUGUGAAAUCUGGGGGCUCAACCCCCAGCCUGCAGUGGGUACGGGCAGACUAGAGUGCGGUAGGGGAGAUUGGAAUUCCUGGUGUAGCGGUGGAAUGCGCAGAUAUCAGGAGGAACACCGGUGGCGAAGGCGGAUCUCUGGGCCUUACCUGACGCUGAGGCGCGAAAGCUAGGGGAGCGAACAGG
rnacentral:rRNA from 1 species